AAGUCGUAACAAGGUUUCCGUAGGUGAACCUGCGGAAGGAUCAUUAAAUUCAGUAGCUUGCUACUGUUAGGGGGGGUCUAUUAGUCUGUAUAGUAUCACUACUGAUGAGCAGCACGACCCUCUGUCUAUACCCUUGUCUUUUGCGCACUCAUGUUUCCUCGGCGGCUUGAUACCCGCCGGCUGGAUCAAUCUAUAACCUUUUUAAUUUUCAAUCAGCGUCUGAAAAACCUAAUAAUUACAACUUUCAACAACGGAUCUCUUGGCUCUC
rnacentral:misc_RNA from 1 species